CAACCAAUCAGAACAGUCGAUGGAUAACUGCCCGUUCCCAUGGUGACAAGGCUAAAUCAUAACAAUUUAUAGCAAUUUAUCAGUUUGUUAUAAGUUUUUCUGACCGUCGUUCAAGCUCACCAGCCUACACACAACAGGAGAAAUCUGAGUGAUCAGUAGCCCCAGUCAUCGCCUCUCGGAAUGAACCGAUUAAACGCAGGAGAGGAAUAUAAGCCAGGUUCACCUGUGUCCUGCACUCAAUCACUGGUUUACCGGCAGCACGGCCAAAAGCUGUAUGCUUUUUUCCAACGGCGUCACAUCAUGCUCCAGCCUGAGAUGACGCAAGACCUGCCCUCUAUGGCCAUGAGCAGUACACCAACACCACAACCUCAGCCAAGCACCUUUCAAAGCUACCAUGAUAUGAUGAACCGCUCACAGCUGUGUAUGCCCCCAC